rnacentral:rRNA from 1 species
GAUGAACGCUGGCGGCGUGCCUAAUACAUGCAAGUCGAGCGGACGGACGAGAAGCUUGCUUCUCUGAUGUUAGCGGCGGACGGGUGAGUAACACGUGGAUAACCUACCUAUAAGACUGGGAUAACUUCGGGAAACCGGAGCUAAUACCGGAUAAUAUUUUGAACCGCAUGGUUCAAAAGUGAAAGACGGUCUUGCUGUCACUAAUAGAUGGAUCCGCGCUGCAUUAGCUAGUUGGUAAGGUAACGGCUUACCAAGGCAACGAUGCAUAGCCGACCUGAGAGGGUGGUCGGCCACACUGGAACUGGGACACGGUCCAGGCUCCUACGGGAGGCCGCAGUAGGGAAUCUUCCGCAAUGGGCGAAAGCCUUACGGAGCAACGCCGCGUGAGUGAUGAAGGUCUUCGGAUCGUAAUACUCUGUUAUUAGGGAAGAACAUAUGUGUAAGUAACUGUGCACAUCUUGACGGUACCUAAUCAGAAAGCCACGGCUAACUACGUG